rnacentral:rRNA from 1 species
AAAUUGAAGAGUUUGAUCAUGGCUCAGAUUGAACGCUGGCGGCAGGCCUAACACAUGCAAGUCGAACGGUAACAGGAAGCAGCUUGCUGCUUYGCUGACGAGUGGCGGACGGGUGAGUAAUGUCUGGGAAACUGCCUGAUGGAGGGGGAUAACUACUGGAAACGGUAGCUAAUACCGCAUAACGUCGCAAGACCAAAGAGGGGGACCUUCGGGCCUCUUGCCAUCGGAUGUGCCCAGAUGGGAUUAGCUAGUAGGUGGGGUAACGGCUCACCUAGGCGACGAUCCCUAGCUGGUCUG